rnacentral:lncRNA from 1 species
CUAAACGAAAAUAACUAAUCAGGGGUUCUCCUCCUCGCAUUUUUCUCACAGUGAGUUGGGUUAUGCCUCCACAAAGACACAGCGCUGCGAGCAAGGAGGCCCACGCCGCACAGAAGCCCCGCGGCUUCUGCCAGCAUUUAUCCAUAGUAUGCAGUAACAUCCCCGUGGCUGAGAUAAAUGUGGACAAGGCUACUUACUGUCCUAGUGUUCUAUUGCUGUGAAGAGACUCCAUGACCAUGGCAACUCUUAUAAAGGUAAGCAUUUAACUAGGGCUGGCUUACAGGUUCAGAGGUUUAGUCCAUUACCAUCAUGGCAGGAAGCAUGGCAGCAUGCAGUCUGACAUGGUGCUAUAGAGGUAGCUGAGAGUUCUACAUCUUCAUCCACAGGCAGCAGGAAGGGAGACACACUUGGUCUG